GCUGGGCACAGUGGUGCACGCCUGUGAUCCCAGCAGCUUGGGAGGCUGAGGCAGGAGGAUUGCAAGUCCAAAGCCAGCCUCAGCAAAAAGCAAGGGGCCAAGCAACUCAGUGAGACCCUGUCUCUA
rnacentral:sRNA from 1 species